rnacentral:rRNA from 1 species
AUUGAACGCUGGCGGCAGGCCUAACACAUGCAAGUCGAACGAGUGGCGGACGGGUGAGUAAUGUCUGGGAAACUGCCUGAUGGAGGGGGAUAACUACUGGAAACGGUAGCUAAUACCGCAUACAAUCAGAUGUGCCCAGAUGGGAUUAGCUGGGUGGUUGGGUCACGGCUCACCAAGUCGACGAUCCCUAGCUGGUCUGAGAGGAUGACCCGCCACACGGGAAUUGAGACACGGUCCAGAAUCCUACGUGAGGCAGCAGUGGGGAAUAUUGCAAGAUGGGCGCAGUCCUGUUGCAGCCAUGCCGGGUGUAUGAAGAAGGCCUUCGGGUUGUAAAGUACUUUCAGCGGGGAGGCGUUACCCGCAGAAGAAGCACCGGCUAACUCCGUGCCAGCAGCCGCGGUAAUUC